rnacentral:rRNA from 2 species
AGAGUUUGAUCAUGGCUCAGGACGAACGCUGGCGGCGUGCCUAACACAUGCAAGUCGAGCGGGGAUAUACGGAAGGUUUACCGGAAGUAUAUCCUAGCGGCGGACGGGUGAGUAACGCGUGGGUAACCUACCUCAUACAGGGGGAUAACACAGGGAAACCUGUGCUAAUACCGCAUAACAUAACGGGGCGGCAUCGUCCUGUUAUCAAAGGAGAAAUCCGGUAUGAGAUGGGCCCGCGUCCGAUUAGCUAGUUGGUGAGGUAACGGCUCACCAAGGCGACGAUCGGUAGCCGAACUGAGAGGUUGGUCGGCCACAUUGGGACUGAGACACGGCCCAGACUCCUACGGGAGGCAGCAGUGGGGAAUAUUGCGCAAUGGGGGAAACCCUGACGCAGCAACGCCGCGUGAAGGAAGAAGGCCUUCGGGUUGUAAACUUCUUUGAUUGGGGACGAAGGAAGUGACGGUACCCAAAGAACAAGCCACGGCUAACUACGUGCCAGCAGCCGCGGUAAUACGUAGGUGGCGAGCGUUGUCCGGAAUUACUGGGUGUAAAGGGCGCGUAGGCGGGGAUGCAAGUCAGAUGUGAAAUUCCGGGGCUUAACCCCGGCGCUGCAUCUGAAACUGUAUCUCUUGAGUGCUGGAGAGGAAAGCGGA